GUGUUGUAUGAAAGAAGAGGUUAACACUCCUCUUUGACAAGGAUGGAAGAGGCCCUUGGGCCUGACAACACAUGUAUGAUUAAAGCAUCUAAUCAUUCUUAGAGCCAGGCACCAGUGUUU
rnacentral:ncRNA from 1 species